rnacentral:rRNA from 1 species
GUCUGUGGCCAUGCCACCCUGAACAAGUCCGACUUCUGAUCUCGGAGGCUAAGCAGGGUUGGGCCUGGUUAGUACUUGGAUGGGAGACCACCUAGGAAGACCCGGUGCUGUAUGCA